ensembl:lncRNA LINC02531 long intergenic non-protein coding RNA 2531
GGCACAGGGGCGGUGCCCUUCAGGGAGGCGCGCAGGAGCCCAUCUUGGGGGAGCUGGAGCAUGGCGGGCUGCAGGUCCCAGCCCUACCCCAUGGGGAGGCGGCUGAGGCCCAGCGAGAAUUCGAGCACUGCGCACGAGGGACGGCAGUGCUGGGGGACCGGGCGCCCCCUCCGCAGCUGCUGGCCUGGGUGCUAAGCCCCUCACUGCCCGGGGCUGGCGGCGACGGAGGGCGGCUCCGAGUGAGUGCGGGGCGCGGAGCCCCACGCCCACCCGGAACUCACGCUGGCCCGCGAACGCUGCGCGCAGCCCCAGUUCCCGCCUGCGUCUCUGCCUCCACACCUCCACGUAAGCAGAGGGGGCCAGCUCCAACCUUGGCCAGCCCAGAGAGGGGCGUCCCACAGUGCAGCGGCGGGCUGAAGGGCUCCUCAAGCCUGACCAGAGCGGACGCCGAGGCCGAGGAGGCGCUGAGAAGGAGCGAGGGCCGCCAGCACGUUGUCACCUCUCAAGAGUUCAGAACGACUACAGCCUUGACAUUAACCCUGGAAAUCAGAUUCUGUGCUAAAAUGGGGGUGACCAAGGAACAGAUGUACAAG